rnacentral:sRNA from 1 species
AUGACAGUCCUAGGAAAUAAAGUCCUCGAUUAUCCACAGAUGAGGUACAGUAUGGGCAGCAGCAGUGCAGACUGCGCCAUCUCAACUGUAAAAUUAACCUCUAGGGGUGAGAAGGCAAUUCAGUCUCAAUACCCAUUAAAUCCUUGACAUGU